rnacentral:rRNA from 1 species
UGCCAGCAGCCGCGGUAAUACGGAGGGUGCGAGCGUUAAUCGGAAUUACUGGGCGUAAAGCGCAUGCAGGUGGUUUGUUAAGUCAGAUGUGAAAGCCCGGGGCUCAACCUCGGAAUAGCAUUUGAAACUGGCAGACUAGAGUACUGUAGAGGGGGGUAGAAUUUCAGGUGUAGCGGUGAAAUGCGUAGAGAUCUGAAGGAAUACCGGUGGCGAAGGCGGCCCCCUGGACAGAUACUGACACUCAGAUGCGAAAGCGUGGGGAGCAAACAGGAUUAGAUA